UCCCUCAACAAAGCCAC
rnacentral:miRNA from 1 species